UUCUUCUCAUCUGACGGAGCGCGAUGCGUAGGCCUAUCUGAUGGAGCGAUGUCAGACUGCUAACUAAUUCCUGACACACGCCACAUUUACAUAACAGGAGGAAAGCGUGUGACCUAGAAUGGCACAGAGAGAAAAAAGUGUUUCUCUAUAGAGGAAGAGUCCAGGUGCUACGUUCCACAUAGAUGACAACAUAACAGCAAGGAAACAAAAUGCAAGUCCUGCGGGUAAAAGAGGCAGCAACUACUGGAAGCACAAUAUUCCAUCAGACAAACUGAAAGCAACAAUUCAUCCACCAUGUUGGGGCUACUGUUUAUCUUCUAUUCAUUCCAUAUUCUCUCUGUAAAAUCAGGUUUGCAUUCUUUGUUGCUGUUUCAUAUAUAUUUAGUGGGUGAGACUCCAUUCCCAGAAUCCCAGACUUUGUUUAUGCUGGAUGACAUUCAGAUUGGAUACUACAACUCAAAAGACAACAAGUUUGUACACAGAGGCAUGAAUGGUCUGGAGAGAACACCUGAUGCCAUAGAACUGGAACUAGCUCCUAAAUUGAAAUUGAAUCAUGAACGUAUGAAAAAUAAGGUCUCUUAUCUGAGACAGAUUCUGAACCACACAAACAGUAUUCAUGUUCUACAGAGAGCUGCAGGAUGUCAGUUACAGGAAAAUGACGACGUAGGAAUUUACUUGAGCAAAGACGCAUUCAACGGGGAGGCUGGAGAUGUCCGCUAUUACAAUCCACAAAAUGACAGCCUUCAUUCUGAC